rnacentral:tRNA from 1 species
UUCCUGGCUCAAAUGGUAAAGAAUCUGCCUGCAAUGCAGGAGACCCAGGUUCGAUCCCUGGGUUGGAAA